GAUGAACGCUGGCGGCGUGCCUAAUACAUGCAAGUCGAGCGAACAGAUAAGGAGCUUGCUCCUUUGACGUUAGCGGCGGACGGGUGAGUAACACGUGGGUAACCUACCUAUAAGACUGGGAUAACUUCGGGAAACCGGAGCUAAUACCGGAUAACAUUUGGAACCGCAUGGUUCUAAAGUGAAAGAUGGUUUUGCUAUCACUUAUAGAUGGACCCGCGCCGUAUUAGCUAGUUGGUAAGGUAACGGCUUACCAAGGCGACGAUACGUAGCCGACCUGAGAGGGUGAUCGGCCACACUGGAACUGAGACACGGUCCAGACUCCUACGGGAGGCAGCAGUAGGGAAUCUUCCGCAAUGGGCGAAAGCCUGACGGAGCAACGCCGCGUGAGUGAUGAAGGGUUUCGGCUCGUAAAACUCUGUUAUUAGGGAAGAACAAAUGUGUAAGUAACUGUGCACGUCUUGACGGUACCUAAGCAGAAAGCCACGGCUAACUACGU
rnacentral:rRNA from 1 species